UACGGGGGGGGGCAAGCGUUGUUCGGAAUUACUGGGCGUAAAGGGCGCGUAGGCGGUUUGCUAAGUCGAAUGUGAAAACUCUGGGCUUAACCCAGAGCCUGCAUUCGAUACUGGCAGGCUAGAGUUCUGGAGGGGAUAGCGGAAUUCCUGGUGUAGCGGUGAAAUGCGUAGAUAUCAGGAGGAACACCGGUGGCGAAGGCGGCUAUCUGGACAGAGUCUGAUGCUGAGGCGCGAAAGCUAGGGGAGCAAACAGG
rnacentral:rRNA from 1 species